rnacentral:rRNA from 1 species
AUUUUACCGCGGCUGCUGCACCAGUCUUACCCACCACUUAUUCUCUAAGAUAUUUACUCUUGGCAAAAGCUUAGUUAAACUAAGCACUUUGGGUUCCCCUCUCACGCCUGCGCGCAUUGGAAAGGUUUCGCGCCUGGUGCACCCCGUAGGGAAUC